rnacentral:rRNA from 1 species
GGGUUGUGAGGUUAAGCGACUAAGCGUACACGGUGGAUGCCCUGGCAGUCAGAGGCGAUGAAGGGCGUGCUAAUCUGCGAUAAGCGCCGGUAAGGUGAUAUGAACCGUUAUAACCGGCGAUACCCGAAUGGGGAAACCCAGUGUGAUUCGUCACACUAUCAUUAACUGAAUCCAUAGGUUAAUGAGGCGAACCGGGGGAACUGAAACAUCUAAGUACCCCGAGGAAAAGAAAUCAACCGAGAUUCCCCCAGUAGCGGCGAGCGAACGGGGAGGAGCCCAGAGCCUGAAUCAGCAUGUGUGUUAGUGGAAGCGUCUGGAAAGGCGCGCGAUACAGGGUGACAGCCCCGUACACAAAAGCGCAUGUGCUGUGAGCUCGAUGAGUAGGGCGGGACACGUGGUAUCCUGUCUGAAUAUGGGGGGACCAUCCUCCAAGGCUAAAUACUCCUGACUGACCGAUAGUGAACCAGUACCGUGAGGGAAAGGCGAAAAGAACCCCGGCGAGGGGAGUGAAAAAGAACCUGAAACCGUGUACGUACAAGCAGUGGGAGCACAGGUUUACCUGUGUGACUGCGUACCUUUUGUAUAAUGGGUCAGCGACUUAUAUUCUGUAGCAAGGUUAACCGAAUAGGGGAGCCGGAGGGAAACCGAGUCUUAAUUGGGCGUUAAGUUGCAGGGUAUAGACCCGAAACCCGGUGAUCUAGCCAUGGGCAGGUUGAAGGUUGGGUAACACUAACUGGAGGACCGAACCGACUAAUGUUGAAAAAUUAGCGGAUGACCUGUGGCUGGGGGUGAAAGGCCAAUCAAACCGGGAGAUAGCUGGUUCUCCCCGAAAGCUAUUUAGGUAGCGCCUCGUGAAUUCAUCUCCGGGGGUAGAGCACUGUUUCGGCUAGGGGGCCAUCCCGGCUUACCAACCCGAUGCAAACUGCGAAUACCGGAGAAUGUUAUCACGGGAGACACACGGCGGGUGCUAACGUCCGUCGUGAAGAGGGAAACAACCCAGACCGCCAGCUAAGGUCCCAAAGUCAUGGUUAAGUGGGAAACGAUGUGGGAAGGCCCAGACAGCCAGGAUGUUGGCUUAGAAGCAGCCAUCAUUUAAAGAAAGCGUAAUAGCUCACUGGUCGAGUCGGCCUGCGCGGAAGAUGUAACGGGGCUAAACCAUGCACCGAAGCUGCGGCAGCGANNGUUGGGUAGGGGAGCGUUCUGUAAGCCUGUGAAGGUGUGUCGUGAGGCAUGCUGGAGGUAUCAGAAGUGCGAAUGCUGACAUAAGUAACGAUAAAGCGGGUGAAAAGCCCGCUCGCCGGAAGACCAAGGGUUCCUGUCCAACGUUAAUCGGGGCAGGGUGAGUCGACCCCUAAGGCGAGGCCGAAAGGCGUAGUCGAUGGGAAACGGGUUAAUAUUCCCGUACUUGGUGUUACUGCGAAGGGGGGACGGAGAAGGCUAUGUUGGCCGGGCGACGGUUGUCCCGGUUUAAGCGUGUAGGUGUGUGUUCCAGGUAAAUCCGGUUCACUUUAACACUGAGGCGUGAUGACGAGGCACUACGGUGCUGAAGUAACAAAUGCCCUGCUUCCAGGAAAAGCCUCUAAGCAUCAGGUAACAUCAAAUCGUACCCCAAACCGACACAGGUGGUCAGGUAGAGAAUACCAAGGCGCUUGAGAGAACUCGGGUGAAGGAACUAGGCAAAAUGGUGCCGUAACUUCGGGAGAAGGCACGCUGACACGUAGGUGAAGUGAUUUACUCAUGGAGCUGAAGUCAGUCGAAGAUACCAGCUGGCUGCAACUGUUUAUUAAAAACACAGCACUGUGCAAACACGAAAGUGGACGUAUACGGUGUGACGCCUGCCCGGUGCCGGAAGGUUAAUUGAUGGGGUCAGCGCAAGCGAAGCUCCUGAUCGAAGCCCCGGUAAACGGCGGCCGUAACUAUAACGGUCCUAAGGUAGCGAAAUUCCUUGUCGGGUAAGUUCCGACCUGCACGAAUGGCGUAAUGAUGGCCAGGCUGUCUCCACCCGAGACUCAGUGAAAUUGAACUCGCUGUGAAGAUGCAGUGUACCCGCGGCAAGACGGAAAGACCCCGUGAACCUUUACUAUAGCUUGACACUGAACAUUGAGCCUUGAUGUGUAGGAUAGGUGGGAGGCUUUGAAGUGUGGACGCCAGUCUGCAUGGAGCCGACCUUGAAAUACCACCCUUUAAUGUUUGAUGUUCUAACGUGGACCCGUGAUCCGGGUUGCGGACAGUGUCUGGUGGGUAGUUUGACUGGGGCGGUCUCCUCCUAAAGAGUAACGGAGGAGCACGAAGGUUGGCUAAUCCUGGUCGGACAUCAGGAGGUUAGUGCAAUGGCAUAAGCCAGCUUGACUGCGAGCGUGACGGCGCGAGCAGGUGCGAAAGCAGGUCAUAGUGAUCCGGUGGUUCUGAAUGGAAGGGCCAUCGCUCAACGGAUAAAAGGUACUCCGGGGAUAACAGGCUGAUACCGCCCAAGAGUUCAUAUCGACGGCGGUGUUUGGCACCUCGAUGUCGGCUCAUCACAUCCUGGGGCUGAAGUAGGUCCCAAGGGUAUGGCUGUUCGCCAUUUAAAGUGGUACGCGAGCUGGGUUUAGAACGUCGUGAGACAGUUCGGUCCCUAUCUGCCGUGGGCGCUGGAGAACUGAGGGGGGCUGCUCCUAGUACGAGAGGACCGGAGUGGACGCAUCACUGGUGUUCGGGUUGUCAUGCCAAUGGCACUGCCCGGUAGCUAAAUGCGGAAGAGAUAAGUGCUGAAAGCAUCUAAGCACGAAACUUGCCCCGAGAUGAGUUCUCCCUGAGACUUAAAGUCUCCUGAAGGAACGUUGAAGACGACGACGUUGAUAGGCCGGGUGUGUAAGCGCAGCGAUGCGUUGAGCUAACCGGUACUAAUGAACCGUGAGGCUUAACCUUACAACGCCGAAG